rnacentral:lncRNA from 1 species
UCCUCGUGGGAUUCGAGUCAACCAACUCGAAAGAUGAUUUUGAAUGCUUGCAAAUAUAGUUCUAGCUUGGCCUAUAAUUUAAUACUUUUAAUGAUUGGACCAUGAGUUCAUUCUAUAGAAUUUUAGGCCUAAUUAUCCAAAUAAAUUUUAAAUCUAAACUUUUUUCCAAAGAAGAUUGUAUCAAAAAAUAUUGCCCAUACAACUUGCACAU